rnacentral:tRNA from 1 species
AGUGUAGCUCAGUGGUAAAGCACUUGCUUGUCAUACAGAAGGUCUAGGUUCAAUCCCCAGCACU